UGGGGAAUAUUGCACAAUGGGCGCAAGCCUGAUGCAGCCAUGCCGCGUGUAUGAAGAAGGCCUUCGGGUUGUAAAGUACUUUCAGCGGGGAGGAAGGUGUUGUGGUUAAUAACCACAGCAAUUGACGUUACCCGCAGAAGAAGCACCGGCUAACUCCGUGCCAGCAGCCGCGGUAAUACGGAGGGUGCAAGUGUUAAUCGGAAUUACUGGGCGUAAAGCGCACGCAGGCGGUCUGUCAAGUCGGAUGUGAAAUCCCCGGGCUCAACCUGGGAACUGCAUCCGAAACUGGCAGGCUUGAGUCUUGUAGAGGGGGGUAGAAUUCCAGGUGUAGCGGUGAUAUGCGUAGAGAUCUGGAGGAAUACCGGUGGCGAAGGCGGCCCCCUGGACAAAGACUGACGCUCAGGUGCGAAAGCGUGGGGAGCAAACA
rnacentral:rRNA from 1 species